UACAGAGGUCUCAAGCGUUGUUCGGAUUCAUUGGGCGUAAAGGGUGCGUAGGCGGCGCGGUAAGUCGGGUGUGAAAUCUCGGGGCUUAACUCCGAAACUGCAUUCGAUACUGCCGUGCUUGAGGACUGGAGAGGAGACUGGAAUUUACGGUGUAGCGGUGAAAUGCGUAGAUAUCGGAGGGAACACCAGUGGCGAAAGCGGCUUCCUGGUCCAGCACCGACGUUCAGGCACGAAAGCGUGGGGAGCAAACAGG
rnacentral:rRNA from 1 species